GUAAAAUUUGUCUGGCCCUUCCCCAUACCACGAUGAGCGGAGCCUUAUAGGGUGACACGGGAUUUGUCGGGCAGAGGGAGGAGCGAGAGGACAGAUCUGGGGCUUCAUCAGUCCCUGCAAAUGGACAUUUCACAUACUCGUUCGGAUUUUAGUUAGAGGAGAGGAGGAGGAAGAGGCUGCGGGAGAGGGCAAGGAGGGAGAACUCCUGCUGGCGGAGCCCUUCCUGCCUCCUGGGGCCCUGGGCAAUUCUGCUCGGCCCCCGACCUGCAAGCCCACUUUACAAAUAAACUCGUCGUAAAGCCACAGUAGACGUCGGUCAUCUACCGCGGCGUCUAAGAGUCAGGAAUGAGGGAGGGGUGGGCAGUUCUGGCUCAGGCUCUCCCAUACUGUUGGGGGCAGAUGCUGACUUGGGCUGUGGUCAUCUCAAAGACUUCCUCAUUCCGGCGUCUGGCGCCUGGGCUGGGGCCAGAGAGGGGCCUGGAGUAGUGGGGACGCGCUGUUUCUGUGCAGUGUCCGUGCGGUCUCUCCAACAGGAUGGCUUCGGGGCCGCUCGCCUCCUUAAGUCCGCUUGGGGCUCCUACGGCGUAUGUCCUGAGCCAGCAGAAGCUGUCAUGCGUCAUCCCUUCUGGCAUAUUCUAGGGAGCAGUCACACAAAGUUACAAAGACUGGCCAGGUUCCACGGAGGAACGUCCGCAUCACAGUGUAGAGUGUUGGUGCCAAGAAGCCACAGCCACGGGGAAAGAAUAUCUGGACCGGUCGUUCUGCCUUCAGCCUGGCUCCCUCAACCCCACCCUCCCCAGAGGAUUGUCCGAGCCCGAAAUCCUCCCGAUCACGCUUCUGUUCUAACACCUUCGGUGGCUCCCCACUGCCCACAAGCUCAGCAGGGUCUGUGGGAGUCAAGCUCUGCCUUCCUUCUGGGCACAUCCACCCGUCCCUCCAGCAGAACUACACCCUGCCCAGAGCACGUCAUCUGGGCCGCUCUGCUGUCUGUCACCCGCCCUCUCCGGUCCCCACUCAGCAGACGGCUCUCGCCUUUCUCUGGCCUCAGAGAGACUCCCUGCUUUCAGGAAGCCUUCCCGACCCUCUUCUCCCAAACCGGCAUCGAUUCCUUCUUCUCCCUCAACCCCCCACCCUUGGCCUGAUC
rnacentral:lncRNA from 1 species